CUUCCCUCAUCAAGCAUCCAAGCAUUUCCACUCUGUUACAGAGUAACCCAUGAGGAAUGUCACUAUGGUAACGUGCCACAUUAUAAAAAAAAAAAAACCCUGUGAAAUAUAAAGCAGGAAGAGGAGCUUAUACCUAACAGUCUCUACAAAACUUUGCAAUAGUUUCACAAAAGUUAAAGAGUAGAGGAUAGAUAGUGUAGGAGCUCAGAUUAUUCAGACAUGAGUGGAGGAGUCCUGUUAAUUAUAAUCUUGGAAAGAACCAAGAGAAGACACAAAAGUGACACUGGAAAUCAAAGUUUAGAGGGCCUUGGAUUGCGUCAUGAAAUGCUGACUUGCAUGCUGGCUCGGUGUCUAUAAGGAUCAUCUCACUCCAAUCAGUUUUUAUGGGAUUUUAUAAUGUAGCAUCAAAAUGUUUUUUUCAGCGUAAAUCAAUUCAUCUGCCAGUAACUUUAAAAUGGGGACAAGCAACUCCAGACCAAAGAUUUGCAAAGUCACACCAAAAGAGGAACAGACUUUCUGUCAAGCAGCCUCACCGAGGAUGAUCACUGCUGCGCAACGUUUACCACAACACCAGAAGGGAAUUCUGGGACACCGGCAGAUCAGCCAGCUUCCACCGCUCAAGCAGCAUGUACCUCAGAUUGUUCCUUCACCGCUAGAUUCAGAGAAUAUAUAUGCUAAACCAAUACACAGCAUCAUCAAAUCUCAUCCACCACAAAGAGCAAAGGUCUAAAAUCUCACCAUGUAAUUAGCUGUACAUACAAAAUAAAGCCAAUGUAGCUAUUCAGUGGAUUGUAAUGGUACUGACCACAAUUAUUUCCCUCUGCUCACAGGCAUGGCAACCAAUAGCAUGCCCAAUGGAGCCACCAACAGCUUCUAAGGCUUCUGGUGAACAUGUUUCUAUGGUACACAUAUAUGCCCAGUAAUCUGCCUUUCAUGGUAUUUCUCCAUUCUGAAGGAUGAUAUGACAGUGAAUGAAGGAGGCAGACUUUGAAAAGAGGUGUGACUGUAGUUAAAUAUGUCUCUAUUAUGUAAAGGGAUGGAGAAAUGGGGUUGUCAGCCAAAAUUCCACUCGACAUCAGGGAGGGCGUUGUGGCGCAGGCAGCAGCCUACAGGUACGGAGCAACUGUUAUGUAUGUAUACAUGUGGUAACUGUUCUCCAUGUCCACAUGAGAUCCCUCCAUACCUUCCAAAUACAUGGCUGUAGGUGGACUCAUUUUGAGUAACUGCUUUAGCCUUGUCAGGAUUGUGGUGAAUCUGUCCCAGGAAUACUCAAGUGUGAGGUGAGUAUACACCCUGGAUGGGAUGUUAUUCAUGGGAUGUCAGAUGGGAGGAAACUGGAGAACCCAGAGGAAACACAGGAAGAACAUGCAAAACUCCACUAAGACACUUACAUGUAUGGCAUUUGGCAGACACCCUUAUCCAGAGCAAUUUACAUUUAUCUAUUUUAUACUGCUGAGCAGUUGAAGGUUAAGGAUCUUGCUUAAUGUGGAAGCAUGGCAGUGCUGGAAUAUGAACUCACAACCAUUCAGUCAGUGGUCCAAUGUCUUAACCACUGAGCUAGCAACUCAAGGUACUCAACUCAAGACAGCAGCUUGAGCUCAAGAUUGAGCCAUGGACCCUGGAACUGCGAGGCAGCAACACUACCUACCACACAAAAUAGGUGUAUUGGCCACUUUAAAUUGCCCCUAGAUGUGAAAGUCCUAUCAAAGGUGUACAUAGCAAGGGUGCAUGGGAUAGGCUCCAGAUCAACCACAAGCCUGACCAGAAUAAUGUAGUUACUGAAAAUGAAUUAUCAAACUAGACCCCUUUUAUUCAUUCAAAUUUUGUUAGGGUUUUUUUGUUUGUUGCAUCUCUCAAUUCAGGUUCGAUUGCAUUAAUUACUGCUGGAUUUUAAACAUGAACAAAGAGAUAUAGAGUGUCAUUUGUCUAAACAAGUUCCUGUAGAUCAACAUGAAAAACAGAGUGACACUAAGAUCUAUAAGAGAUGUUUAGAAACUCACAGGAAGAAGUUAUAGAAGACGCACAAAGCAGACAGCUGGUGAGCAAUGAGCCUUGCCCUGGUGCUCCCUGUGGGUCUGAUUACCGUGCUGCUGGAGUGGAAAGUAGCCUGGGCUGAAGCCACAGUGCUUCCUCCACGGGAUCCAUUUUGCUGGUACAAGACAGGUCCUCCUUCCCCCCAGGAAUGCCCAGAACUAUUAACACUGAAGAAUAUCUGUUCUAACUGGUCAUCAACAGGGCCCAGCAUAAGAUAAGAUGACACCUGUAAUCGAUUUUCAUCUUUUGUUUACCCAACAGUGUAUUUUAUUUAGCCUCCAACAAGUAAACUGUUGCAGUAUUGAUAAGAGAAACCAGGGAGGGUUCCUGCAAGCACAGACACUCCUUAUUGGUCAAGCAGCCAAGAAGCGUCAAUCCCAUCAGAGGCACCUUAGGGAGCAGCAAGGAAUUUAUACUUCCAGUGUUGGAGGAGCUGGUAAUGUGCAGACAGAAAGAAUCCGACUGGUGUCCAGGCCAACUCAAAGAGACAUCUUCUGGGAUGAGACAAAGGGACAGAAUCUGGACCUCAGGGAGCUCCUGCAGCCAAGUCCUCCACUGACAGAUCCAGACUCUGGAAUGGAAGAAAUGACAAGACGACCAAAAUCAGAAGUAGGACUGAAGGGUAAUUCAGGCGGUUUCUCCAGGGACUUGAAUGAAAGUGUAACAAAAUCGCCAGAGAGAAUAACACAGCAGAAUUCACCUUGGCUUGAUGACUUUCAAAAGCAUUCACAAAAACAUUUAAACACUUGGGACAUAGUGGAGGACCAGUGCGGACAUAAACAGUGGCUAGACGCACCCAGGCAACGUCAUGAAAAGGAAGAGAGGGAAAUAAGUAGGAAUACUACUGGUCAGUUAAAUUAUGUUCACCAGAAAUGGAACAGUUGGGGACAAACACACAUAGCUUAGAUAUCUAUGUAGAUUUAAAUAUGCAAAAGAAUAUCCUUGACUAACCCCAUUGCUUUGGAGCUUAUGAGUCGAGAUAUACACAUACAUAUACAGUAUAUAUAUAUACAGUAUAUAUAUAUAUAUAUAUAUAUAUAUAUAUAUAUAUAUAUAUAUAUAUAUAUACACACACACACAUAUGUAUACUGUAGCUGUAGUCCAUACCUCCAAACUCAUUUUCUUAACGAGACUCCAGGUUUGCUAAAACCUGACUCCAAUUAGCUUUCUUCACGUCAUUACCUCAAGGGUUCACAUACUUUUUCCUUAAGCACUAUGAGGUUUUUUUGGUUGUUCUUUAUAAAGACAUGAAAGAUCAUAAUUUUUUUGUGUUAUUAUUUUAGACACAUUAUAUUUGUCAAUACCCUUGACUUAGAUGAAGAUCAGAUUACAUUUUAUUACAAAUUUAUGAAGAAAACCAUGAAAUUCCAAAAGAUUCACAUACUUUUUCUUGCCACUGUGUAUAAUAUAUGAGGUCCAAGGGAUAGGCACCUUAAUGGUUAUGUAUCUAUCUAUGAAGGCCAAAAAAAAAAAAAAAAAAAAGAUUUGUCUGAUGAGGCAGAAAUGUUCAUUUUUAUUCUACAGCAGUCUACAUGGUUUAAGUGUUUUAUCUGUAUCCUUUACCACUUAACACCAUUGUUUAACAAAUGCAUUAUUUGCUAGCCAAACACAUUAAGCUAGCCCAGUGACAUUCUAAAGUCCAUUUGUGUUGUUAGAAGGUGACCAGUGUUUAAUGUAUUACUUUCCUUAAUCUCAGGGCAAAUUAUUAAAACUGAUUAAAUGUUGAUUGUUCCAUAUAACAUGAUUGGAAGCAAUGACCAAAUAUCAGAAACCACUUAAAAAUUAAACGUUCUUUCAAGAAAGCCUUUAAUCCCAAAAAUAAACCUAAAUGUCAGUUGAUAUGCUGGGCAGGCACAGCACAGCUUCAUGGUAGUUUUCCUGCUCCCAGCCCUCCUGAAAACAAUAUGCUAGCUGCUGCUGAAUGGUUCCCAGCUGACAUAAUUAACAUGAUAAAAUACACAUUCAUUUUGGCUGUGUUGUGGUCUUUAUCCAGUAGAAAUGUGAAUUUAACACCCAUUUAAAUGAGUUGCUAAUUAGCAACCACAAAUAAAUCCGGUGUGAGAGUCUACAGAUCACUUAAUUACACAUUGCUGACCGAAAUAUGCGGUGAAUUUUAUCUUAAACCUAAUUUUCAGUGAAAUACAGCCUUUCAUAAGAAAGGCAAAGUGUUGUAAACUAAUAUCAAUAAUGUAAUGCAUAAUGUUCAUUUUCUUCUCAGUCAGCUAAUAUUUACAAAGGAUAUGAUAAGAAAAGACAAUACAGGUAAUCAGGUAUAAAUAAAAAUACUAGGUAAUAAUCAAGCAUAGAAGAUAGUAAUAAAUCACUACACAUUUGCAAUAAAAAAAUCAAAUAAUUUAUUUAUACUUUUUAAACAAAGUCUGUUGUCCACUUGAAAUCAAAGAAAAUUUGCAAGAAAUGUAAGAGGCGAGAGUGAACGGAAGAUGAAAGGGAUAUGUGGACCAUACUGUAGUACUUCCCAACUCCAUGAGGUGCAGUCUCCUUUUUUUUUUUUUUUUUUUUUUUUUUAAA